rnacentral:rRNA from 1 species
AGGACGAACGCUGGCGGCGUGCUUAACACAUGCAAGACGAGCGGUAAGGCUCCUUCGGGGGUACACGAGCGGCGAACGGGUGAGUAACACGUGAGUAAUCUGCCCUCCACUUGGGGAUAAGCUUCGGAAACGGGGUCUAAUACCUGAUACGACACAGUCUUGCAUGAGAUCUGUGUGGUAAAGUUUUUUCGGUGGGGGAUGUGCUCGCGGCCUAUCAGCUUGGUUGGUGGGGUAAUGGCCUACCAAGGCUUCGGACGGGUAGCCGG